UGGGGGAGUAUUGCACAAUGGGGGGAACCCGUGAUGCAGCGACGCCGCGUGGGUGAAGAAGCGCCUCGGCGCGUAAAGCCCUGUCAGCAGGGAAGAAAAUGAC
rnacentral:rRNA from 1 species